rnacentral:rRNA from 1 species
AGAGUUUGAUCAUGGCUCAGGACGAACGCUGGCGGCGUGCUUAACACAUGCAAGUCGAACGAUGAACUCCAGCUUGCUGGGGGGAUUAGUGGCGAACGGGUGAGUAACACGUGAGUAACCUGCCCUGGACUCUGGGAUAACCCCGAGAAAUCGGAGCUAAUACCGGAUAGGACCUGGAACCGCAUGGUUUUGGGUGGAAAGUUUUUCGGUCUGGGAUGGACUCGCGGCCUAUCAGCUUGUUGGUGAGGUAAUGGCUCACCAAGGCGACGACGGGUAGCCGGCCUGAGAGGAUGGCCAGCCACAUUGGGACUGAGAGACGGCCCAGACUCCUACGGGAGGCAGCAGUGGGGAAUCUUGCGCAAUGGCCGAAAGGCUGACGCAGCGACGCCGCGUGGGGGAUGAAGGCCUUCGGGUUGUAAACCCCUGUUGCCCGGGACGAACAACUGGCUUCGGCCAGUCUGACGGUACCGGGUGAGGAAGCACCGGCUAACUCUGUGCCAGCAGCGGCGGUAAUAC